rfam:Ictidomys tridecemlineatus contig079046, whole genome shotgun sequence.
UGGGAUGUGGCUCAAGCGGUAGCGCGCUCGUCUGGCAUGUGUGUGGCCCGGGUUCGAUUCUCAGCAUCACAU